AACUCUGUAGCUAAGAGGUUCAUAGCGCAAGGCUCAUACUUUUUCAAUUUAGUUCACCUUGAGGUCGUUGGAUCGAAACCAACCAGAGUUA